rnacentral:lncRNA from 1 species
CUUUUUCUUAUGCCAGUUAUAUCUUUCCAGAUAAGCCAUUUAGAAGCCCUUUCGGCGUUUCCUGCAUCAAGUCCCUUAAACACCUCUCCUUGUCAUUUGUAAACAUAACCGGUGAACUUGUUGAGCACUUUCUAUCCAAUUGUGAACUCCUUGAGCAUCUUUGCGUUUCUUGCUCGGAUCAAUUAGUAACUUUGAAAGUUGCCGGUUCGUCACUCCGGUUGAAGUUCCUACAAAUAAGUGACUGUAUGUAUUUAGAAAAAAUUGAGAUUUGUGCUCCUAAUCUCGUGUCAUUUAUUUAUCACGGAAUGCUGGGUUUCUAUGACAGUAUUCGUUUGAGGCAUGCACCCUUGCUUGUAAAUGUAUCACUUGCAGAAAGUACUAGGUCUAUAGUUCCAACUUUUCUUUCGGUUAAAAGUUGUCUUCCUCAGCUGGUGACUCUCAAUCUCAACUUGCACAUGAAUCUGAAUAUGGUCAGUAUAUGAAAUAAUUCAGUAUUUAUUAUUAUUAUUAUUAUUAUUAUAUAUAUAUAUAUAUAUAGACUUUAUUUUCAAAAUUUGCUUUUCAUCUGUCAGAGUGCAAUGGUGAGGCACCCAGAAUUUCCAGAAUUAACUUGUCUCAAGGACUUAACAUUGAAUGUUGUCGCAAGUGAUCGGCAAAGCCUCCUUAAUUUGACUAAAUUGAUAGAGCGGUCUCCUUUCUUGCAUAGAUUUACAUUGGAUGUAAAUUUAUUUUCAGCAUGUCUUACAAUUUAAAGUUGGGAAGUUUAUUUAAUGGUUUCAGAAAGGUUUUUGUUGAUUCAUGUUUAUGCACACAAACUUCUAAAAGUUGUAUUGUUUUUCUGUGGUUUUUGAAACUUGUAUAUGUGAAAUUAACUUGUCUAAGGUAGAUUGAUAAGCUAUUGUUUUUGUCCUUGUGCAGCUAAGAUGGGCACGAGUGCCAUGUCUGAGGAAUUUGCAGAAGGUUAAUAAAUGUCCUCAUCAGUGCCUUAAGGUGGUGAAAUUUUCUGGGUUCGUUGGGUCUAGUAUCGACACUGAGCUUGCCAUGUACUUCACUGAGAAUGCCGUUGCGCUUGAAACGUUUCUCGUCGAUCUCAGAAAGGUUGUCGUUGAAGAAUCCACUCUGUUGUCUGAAUUUGUUACAACCCAGAAACAAUUGAGGGCAGCAAGAAAGCGUGCUUUGCAGAUAGGUAAAAAACUACCUCCAGGAACUGAGUUAAUUGUUUUGUAAUUUCACUUGUUUAAUCCUCUUUGCUACAGACGUGAUACACUUUUUGCAGCAUGUAAUUUGCUACUAUUUAUUUCUGACAUUUUCCGAAAUUGAAAUAAUGUUUGUGUGGUGAACAAGGAUGGCAGUUUAGGUACUUGAUUGAUUUCUUCCAAUAUGUAGAUUCUUGAAUGAGUUGGAGACAAAAUGAAGAAGGACAUGUGAUUCGCAU